UACGUAGGGUGCGAGCGUUAAUCGGAAUUACUGGGCGUAGAGCGUGCGCAGGCGGUUCGCUAAGACCGAUGUGAAAUCCCCGGGCUUAACCUGGGAACUGCAUUGGUGACUGGCGGGCUAGAGUAUGGCAGAGGGGGGUAGAAUUCCACGUGUAGCAGUGAAAUGCGUAGAGAUGUGGAGGAAUACCGAUGGCGAAGGCAGCCCCCUGGGCCAAUACUGACGCUCAUGCACGAAAGCGUGGGGAGCAAACAGG
rnacentral:rRNA from 1 species